UACGGGGGGGGCAAGCGUUGUUCGGAAUUACUGGGCGUAAAGGGCUUGUAGGUGGCCAACUAAGUCAGACGUGAAAUCCCUCGGCUUAACCGGGGAACUGCGUCUGAUACUGGAUGGCUUGAGUGUGGGAGAGGGAUGCGGAAUUCCAGGUGUAGCGGUGAAAUGCGUAGAGAUCGGCAGGAACACCCAGGGGGAAACCAGCCGACUGGGCAUCUACUGACGCUGAGGUGCGAGAGCGUGGGGAGCGAACCGG
rnacentral:rRNA from 1 species